GGUUAUUAUAGCAAAGAGGAUACACCUGUUCCCAUUCCGAACACAGAAGUUAAGCUCUUUAGCGCCGAUGGUACUUGGUGGGAAGCUGCCUGGGAGAGUAGGACGUAGCCGCGU
rnacentral:rRNA from 1 species